UACGAAGGGGGCUAGCGUUGCUCGGAAUCACUGGGCGUAAAGGGCGCGUAGGCGGCGUUUUUAAGUCGGGGGUGAAAGCCUGUGGCUCAACCACAGAAUUGCCUUCGAUACUGUUUGGCUUGAGUUUGGUAGAGGUUGGUGGAACUGCGAGUGUAGAGGUGAAAUUCGUAGAUAUUCGCAAGAACACCAGUGGCGAAGGCGGCCAACUGGACCAAUACUGACGCUGAGGUGCGAAAGCGUGGGGAGCAAACAGGG
rnacentral:rRNA from 1 species